rnacentral:tRNA from 1 species
GCCACCAUAGCUCAGUUGGUAGAGCACGUCAUUCGUAAUGACGGGGUCGUCGGUUCAAAUCCGACUGGUGGCU